GCUGGGUGUGAUGGCUCACACCUGUAAUCCCAGAAACUUUGGAGGCUGAGGCAGGAGAAUAGUAUGUUUGAGGCUAGCCGGGGCAACACAGCAAGACCACAUCUUAAAAAUAAAAAUUAAAUGACAGUAAGAGCCUGUUUCAA
rnacentral:sRNA from 1 species